rnacentral:lncRNA from 1 species
GACAUAUAGUGCGACUUGUCAGAUAUAUUGGGUCAUAUGGUAUUUCCCCGUUCUCUCCCCCGAUCGAGAUAUCCCCCGUUUCGCCCAAGAAAGAUAAAUUGAAUCAUCCAAAAUUUGGAGCGUGAAGUGCAAUUAGAUCCAUUUUUAAGGGGAUUCAUAUUACUAUUAUCAAUUAGAAUANUACUUAUUUAUCAUUACAAAGACCUAUUCGUAAUAAUUUGAGUUUAUUCAUUCUGUCUUUCUUUAUGAAUUUUUAGAAUCUAUGGAUA